rnacentral:tRNA from 1 species
CAUUAGGUGGCUGAAAAUAAGCUUUGGAAUUUUAAACCAAGUUAUAGUAUCUCAUACUUCUAAUGA